UAAUCACUCAUAUUCAGGCAUAAUCAUCCCCAUGGUGAUUCAAGAAAUAUAUAUCCAAUGGUAAUGAUGCAGGGAAAGAGCCAAAAAAUGAAUAUUCAAGGAUACACCAUUGGAAACCCAAUAACAAAUCACUUUAGUGACUUCAAUUCAAGAAUUGCAUACACUCAUCAAGUAGGAAUUCUAUCAUAUGAGCUUUAUGAGGCCAAUAUCUAAAAGCUAAGGUUGAUGGAGGAUUUGGCAGGGACAUGCUGGAGUUUUUGUUGAAAGGACAUGUGGUUGCUUAUAGAACCAUGGUUACAAGAGUUUCUUGAAAUAGCCUGAAGAUUAUUUGAUUGAUAGAGUUGUCGACUUGUGAUGCAGUUGCGUUUGCUGAAAGAUUAUCUAAAUGGCAGUGUCGAUAUGAUUAUGGUUUGCUGAUGUUUAUAUUGACAUUCAGUUUGGUAUCUGUAACGGGCUAUCCUCAACCAUCCUCAUUAGCAGCACCACAGCUGUGUUUGUAUCCAUAGGCAUCUGCCCAAUGUGGGCUGGUGAUGAUCUUCACAAGUUGGUUGCUGGCAAUGUUGAAAGCUUGGGAACUUCUUAGAAGGAUUUUCAGGGGAAUAUUUUAGAGUCUUAGGAGAUGGAGAAUCCAAGGAUAGCAAAACAUUUCUUCAAGGAUACAAAAGUAUUUUGACUUCAAAAAUCAUUGAAGAUUCCUUGACAAAUUUUGUAAGAUAGGAGCCUAGACAUUGUCGUUUCAGGUUUCGUCAUCCUUAGAAACAAUACCAAAAGAUUGGAUCCCUAGCUGGCCAAUGCACCUAUCUCAUUGAUGCUCUUAACAGCUACCCUCACUCUCAUAUCCCGUGCUAAACACAAGGUAGAAUUGGAGCUUUGUGCAAAAAAAAUGCCAAACACUUCCAUGAUCUUAGACUUCUUCAAAGGUUGGGAAAAAUGCAAGCUCUAGAAUGCAUUUCGUGAACAUAUGGGGACAUUGAACAGGUAAAUAUUUACAAGAUGGUCAACACUAUAAUAGAUGCUCAACAAACAUGAUAGACUUGAGAGAGAAUUUGAGUAACCAGCAUAGCAUUCUUGCGAAAACCAUGUUAGGCUUGAUAGUGCUUUUAUCUAAUGCUAUACAUAUAUUGAUUGAAAUAGUACAGACAUAGAGCUACCUUUCUAUCAUUAUUUGGUUCUUAAUUUUGUUAACUGAGUCUAAAAUAUAUUAGAUGUGUUAAAUUUUGUGAUUCA